AAGAAGAAAAGGCCAUAAAGUGGUGCUGCUAACUUCGCUUUGGGCGGCUCAAUUCCGUCCUCUUCUUU
rnacentral:tRNA from 1 species